GCAGGUUCCCCUACGGCUACCUUGUUACGACUUCACCCCAGUCACGAACCCCGCCGUGGUAAGCGCCCCCNUUGCGGUUAGGCUACCUACUUCUGGCGGAACCCGCUCCCAUGGUGUGACGGGCGGUGUGUACAAGACCCGGGAACGUAUUCACCGCAGCAUGCUGAUCUGCGAUUACUAGCGAUUCCGACUUCACGCAGGCGAGUUGCAGCCUACGAUCCGGACUACGAUCGGCUUUCUGGGAUUGGCUCCACCUCGCGGCUUGGCAACCCUCUGUACCGACCAUUGUAUGACGUGUGAAGCCCUACCCAUAAGGGCCAUGAGGACUUGACGUCAUCCCCACCUUCCUCCGGUUUGUCACCGGCAGUCUCGUUAAAGUGCCCAACU
rnacentral:rRNA from 1 species